AGAGUUUGAUCAUGGCUCAGGGUUAACGCUGGCGGCGCGCAUAACACAUGCAAGUCGAGCGAGGGCUUAUUUCUCGCAAGAGAGAUAAGUUCCUAGCGGCGAACGGGUGAGUAACACGUGGGCAACCUUUCCUAUCGCGGGGGAUAACACCGGGAAACCGAUGCUAAUACCGCAUGUCGUCACCGGUCGCAUGGCUGGUGAAGAAAGCAGCAAUGCACGAUGGGGUGGGCCCGCGGCCUAUCGGCUAGUCGGUGGGGUAACGGCCUACCGAGGCGAUGACGGGUAGCUGGUCUGAGAGGACGGCCAGCCACACGGGGACUGAGACACGGCCCCGACUCCUACGGGAGGCAGCAGUGAGGAAUCUUCCGCAAUGGGCGAAAGCCUGACGGAGCGACGCCGCGUGUGGGAUGAAGUCUUUCGGGAUGUAAACCACUGUCGGAGGGGAAGACAUCGACGGUACCCUCCAAGAAAGCCCCGGCUAACUACGUGCCAGCAGCCGCGGUAAUACGUAGGGGGCAAGCGUUAUCCAGAUUUACUGGGCGUAAAGCGCGUGUAGGCGGCUGGUUAGGUGUGAUGUGAAAUCUUCCGGCUCAACCGGAAAACUGCAUUGCAAACCGGCCUGGCUAGAGUGCAGGAGAGGGAAGCGGAAUUCCAGGUGUAGCGGUGAAAUGCGUAGAUAUCUGGAGGAACACCAGUGGCGAAGGCGGCUUCCUGGCCUGCAACUGACGCUGAGACGCGAAAGCGUGGGGAGCGAACCGGAUUAGAUACCCGGGUAGUCCACGCCCUAAACGUUGUGAACUAGGUGUUGGUCGGAUUGACCCGAUCAGUGCCGCAGCUAACGCAUUAAGUUCACCGCCUGGGGACUACGGCCGCAAGGUUAAAACUCAAAGGAAUAGGCGGGGGCCCGCACAAGCAGCGGAGCGUGUGGGUUUAAUUCGAGGCGACGCGAAGAACCUUACCUGGGUUUGACAUGCAGAGGAAACUUUCGUGAAAGCGAGA
rnacentral:rRNA from 1 species